rnacentral:rRNA from 1 species
CCUACGGGUGGCAGCAGUGAGGAAUAUUGGUCAAUGGGCGGGAGCCUGAACCAGCCAAGUCGCGUGAAGGAAGAAGGUACUUAGUAUUGUAAACUUCUUUUGUCGGGGAACAAAGGCGGAGACGCGUCUCCGGCUGAGUGUACCCGAAGAAAAAGCAUCGGCUAACUCCGUGCCAGCAGCCGCGGUAAUACGGAGGAUGCGAGCGUUAUCCGGAUUUAUUGGGUUUAAAGGGUGCGCAGGCGGGGGAUCAAGUCAGCGGUAAAAUGUCGGGGCUCAACCCCGGCCGGCCGUUGAAACUGGUGUGCUAGAGUUGGAGAGAAGUAUGCGGAAUUCGUGGUGUAGCGGUGAAAGGCAUAGAUAUCACGAAGAACUCCGAUUGCGAAGGCAGCAUACCGGAUCCAGACUGACGCUGAGGCACGAAAGCGUGGGGAUCGAACAGGAUUAGAUACCCGAGUAGUC